rnacentral:tRNA from 1 species
GGCAGGGUAGCCUAACAGAUAGAGCACUGGACUGGGACUCAGGAGAUGUGGGUUCUAGUUCCAGCUCUGCUC